CACGUAGGCGGCCUAUUAAGUGUGGAGUGAAAUCCCACGGCUCACCCGUGGAACUGCUUCGCAUACUGGCAAGCUCGAGGACGGUAGGGGAGAGCGGAACUCUUGGUGGAGCGGUGAAAUGCGUAGAUAUCAAGAGGAACACCGAUGGCGAAGGCAGCUCUCUGGUCCGUUUCUGACGCUGAGGUGCGAAAGCUAGGGUAGCGAACG
rnacentral:rRNA from 1 species